UUUCAUAUGGUGGUUUAGAUUU
rnacentral:miRNA from 1 species